rnacentral:rRNA from 1 species
UUUCAUGUUAUAAAUAGUCGGGCCUGCUCACUGAUAAAUAAAUUAUUUAAGAGCCGCAGUAUUUUGACCGUGCAAAGGUAGCAUAAUCAUUAGUUUCUUAAUUGGAAACUCGUAUAAAGGGUCGGACAAAGGAGGAGCUGUCUAUAUUACAAAAUUUAAUUUAGCUUUUAAGUGAAAAUACUUAAAUACCUCGGGGGGACGAUAAGAACCUAUAAAGCUUUAUAUGUUAGUUAAAUUUCAUUGAAUUAUUAUUUAUAAGAAUUUAAUUUAGGUAUCAUAUUUUAUUGGGGCGAUAAAGAUAUAAGUUUUAUAACUGUUAAUAUUAAGAACAAUGAUAGCUGGGUUUGAAAAUAAAUUAUCCUUUUUUAUGAUUAAAAGAUCAAAUUACUUUAGGGAUGACAGUGUUAUUUCUUUUAAGAGUUCAUAUCGAAAAAGAAGUUUGCGACCUCGAUGUUGAAUUAAAUUGUCUAUAUCGUGUAGCCGUUAUAUAAGAAGGUCUGUUCGACCUUU